GAUGAACGCUGGCGGCGUGCUUAACACAUGCAAGUCGAACGGAAAGGCCCUGCUUUUGGCGUCGGCUCGAGUGGCGAACGGGUGAGUAACACGUGAGUAAUCUGCCCUUGACUUUGUGAUAACUUCAGGAAACUGGGGCUAAUACCGGAUAGCAGCUCCUGCUGCAUGGUGGGGGUUGGAAAGUUUCGGCGGUUAGGGAUGGACUCGCGGCUUAUCAGCUUGUUGUUGGGGUAGUGGCUUACCAAGGCUUUGACGGGUAGCCGGCCUGAGCGGGUGACGGGCCACAUUGGGACGGAGAUGCGGCACAGACUAGUACGGGAGGGAAGGGAGGAGUAGAGUACACAAUGGGAGGAAGCCAACUCUGACACAGCCGCGUGGGGGGAAAGAGGAAGCGGGUUGGAAACCGAUUUCGCCUGUGACGAAGAGAGAGUGACGGUAAUGGGUAAAGAAGCACCGGCUAACUACGUG
rnacentral:rRNA from 1 species